AUUGAACGCUGGCGGCAUGCUUUACACAUGCAAGUCGAACGGCAGCGCGGGCUUCGGCCUGGCUGCGAGUGGCGAACGGGUGAGUAAUGCAUCGGAACGUGCCCAGUAGUGGGGGAUAGCCCGGCGAAAGCCGGAUUAAUACCGCUUACGACCUGAGGGUCAAAGCGGGGCACCGAAAGGCCUCGCGCUAUUGGAGCAGCCGAUGUCGGAUUAGCUAGUUGGUGGGGUAAAGGCUUACCAAGGCGACGAUCCGUAGCUGGUCUGAGAGGACGACCAGCCACACUGGGACUGAGACACGGCCCAGACUCCUACGGGAGGCAGCAGUAGGGAAUUUUGGACAAUGGGCGCAACCCUGAUCCAGCCAUGCCGCGUGAGGGAAGAAGGCCUUCGGGUUGUAAACCGCUUUUGUUCGGGAAGAAAUACUCUGGGCUAAUACCCCGGGGGGAUGACGGUACCGGAAGAAAAAGCAACGGCUAACUACGUG
rnacentral:rRNA from 1 species